UACAGAGGUCCCAAGCGUUGUUCGGAUUUACUGGGCGUAAAGGGUGCGUAGGUGGUGAGGUAAGUCUGAUGUGAAAUCUCCGAGCUUAACUCGGAAAUGGCAUUGGAAACUACCUUGCUAGAGGGUUGGAGGGGGGGACUGGAAUACUUGGUGUAGCAGUGAAAAUGCGUAGAUAUCAAGUGGAACACCAGUGGCGAAGGCGAGUCCCUGGACAACUCCUGACAUGAGGCACGAAAGCUAGGGGGAGCAAAACAGG
rnacentral:rRNA from 1 species